rnacentral:rRNA from 1 species
UACGUAGGUGGCAAGCGUUGUCCGGAAUUACUGGGCGUAAAGAGCUCGUAGGUGGUUUGUCGCGUUGUUCGUGAAAACCGGGGGCUUAACCCUCGGCGUGCGGGCGAUACGGGCAGACUGGAGUACUGCAGGGGAGACUGGAAUUCCUGGUGUAGCGGUGGAAUGCGCAGAUAUCAGGAGGAACACCGGUGGCGAAGGCGGGUCUCUGGGCAGUAACUGACGCUGAGGAGCGAAAGCGUGGGGAGCGAACAGG